rnacentral:sRNA from 1 species
UAGGAAUGGGUUGUUCAACACUCCAAAGUCCAAUUCAUCCCGAUAUGAAAGAGAUAUUUGAAAGGUGUUUUUGAAUUACAGUUUGAAUGUAGUAAAUGGUACUAAAAUUGUAUCUGAAUUUUUAGUGUAGGAAAGGUAGUUUAGAGUGUUAAAACGAAGGGGUGAUGAUGAAUUUUGGAAUGAAUUGCAGUUGCAGGGAUGGUACAACAGAUUGCAAAGGGACGAAGUGGUGGCGCAGUGGAAGAAGGUGAAGGGAAGGAUGUCCCUGCACGUUCACUGCCACAUCAGUGGAGGUCAUUUUCUGUUGGACAUGUUAGCGAGGUUAAGAUACUUCAUCUUCUGCAAGGAGCUACCAGUGGUGUUGAAGGCAGUGGUUCACGGCGAU